rnacentral:rRNA from 1 species
UACGAACUGUGCGAACGUUAUUCGGAAUCACUGGGCUUACAGGGUGCGUAGGCGGCCGAACAAGUCAGGUGUGAAAGCCCUCGGCUCAACCGAGGAACUGCGCUUGAAACUGUUUGGCUCGAGUCAACUAGAGGUGCACGGAACUUCCAGUGGAGCGGUGAAAUGCUUAGAUAUGACAUAGAACACCAAUUGCGAAGGCAGCUCACUAAGCAAAUAUUGACGCUGAGGCACGAAAGCGUGGGGAUCAAACAGG